ACACAUGCAGUCGAGCGGUAACAGGAGAAAGCUUGCUUUCUUGCUGACGAGCGGCGGACGGGUGAGUAAUGUAUGGGGAUCUGCCCGAUAGAGGGGGAUAACUACUGGAAACGGGGGCUAAUACCGCAUAAUGUCUACGGACCAAAGCAGGGGCUCUUCGGACCUUGCACUAUCGGAUGAACCCAUAUGGGAUUAGCUAGUAGGUGGGGUAAAGGCUCUC
rnacentral:rRNA from 1 species